UGGAAGUUCGAUUCUGGCUCAGAUUGAACGCUGGCGGGAUACUUUACACAUGCAAGUCGAACGGCAGCACGGACUUCGGUCCUGGUGGCGGUGGCGAACGGGUGAGUAAUGUAUCGGGUGCGUGCUAAUGGCAGGGGAUAACUGCGCGGCGUAAUAAUACGCCAUAUCGGGGAAAGCGGGGGGACCUUCGGGCCUCGCACUAUUAGAGCGGCCGAUAUCGGAUUAGCUGAAUUGGUGGGGUAACGGCUCCGCAAGGCGACGUCCGUAGCUGGUUUGAGAGGACGACCAGCCACUGGGACUGAGACACGGCAGACUCCUACGGGAGGCAGCAGUGGGGGAAUUUUGGACAAUGGGGAAACCCUGAUCAACCAUCCAGCAAUGUGCGAUGAAGGCCUUCGGGUUAUAAAGCUUGCUGGCAGGAAAAACGGCACGGGAUAAUACCCGUACAGCGACGUACCUGCGGAAUAAGCACCGGCUAACUGCCCGGCAGCCGCGGUAAUACAUGGGGUGCGAAGCGUUAAUCAGAUUACUGGGCGUAAGCGUGCGCAGGCAGUUCGGAAGAAAAGAAAGAUGUGAAAUCCAGGCCCAGCUUUGGAACUGCAUUUUUAACUACCGAACUCAGAGUGUAUCAGAGGAGAGUGGAGUCCGCGUGUAACGUGAGAAUGCGUAGAUAUGCGGAGGGAACACCGAUAACGAAGGCAGCCUCCUGGGAUAACACUGACUCAUGCACGAAAGCGUGGGGCAAACGGGAUUAGAUACCUGAUGAUCCGCCCUAAACGAUAUCAACUAGCUGUUGAGACCUUCGAACACUUAGCCAGCACAACUAACGCGUGAAGUUGACCGCCUGGGGCUGAUCGCAAGAUUAGAAACUCAAAGGAAUGACGGGGACCACACAAGCAGUGGAUGAUGUGGUUAAUUCGAUGCGGCGCGAAAACGCACCACACCCGCGACAUGUCUAAGAAUCGAAGUUGGGAGUAUACCGAAAGGAAACCAGAACACAAGUACUGCAUGGCUGUCGUCGCUCGUCGUAGUGUUAGGUGCAGUCCGCAACGAGCACGGCCUGUCGUAGACCCCCGCACGGGCAUCUAAUGGACUGCCGUGACAAACCGGAGGAAAAUUGAGAUAACGAUAAAGUCCUCAUAACCCACUAUAAAUGAGCACCACACAUCUGCAAUGGUCGGGACAGAGGUCGCCAACCGCGAGAGCAAUCGAAACGUCAUAGUCAGAUCGCAAUCCGCAACUCGACUGCGUAAUCGCGAUCGCUAUGUCGCGAGAUCAGCAUGUCGCGGUGAAUACCAUUCCGGGUCUUACUGCCGUCACCAUAGAGUAAAUUUUCGUAAAUUGUAACCAUAGGAGGGCAGUACUACGUAGGAUUCAUGACUGGGGUGAAGUCGUAACAAGUAA
rnacentral:rRNA from 1 species